rnacentral:rRNA from 1 species
UGCAGUCGAGCGGAUGACAGGAGCUUGCUCCUGGAUUCAGCGGCGGACGGGUGAGUAAUGCCUAGGAAUCUGCCUGGUAGUGGGGGACAACGUUUCGAAAGGAACGCUAAUACCGCAUACGUCCUACGGGAGAAAGCAGGGGACCUUCGGGCCUUGCGCUAUCAGAUGAGCCUAGGUCGGAUUAGCUAGUUGGUGGGGUAAUGGCUCACCAAGGCGACGAUCCGUAACUGGUCUGAGAGGAUGAUCAGUCACACUGGAACUGAGACACGGUCCAGACUCCUACGGGAGGCAGCAGUGGGGAAUAUUGGACAAUGGGCGAAAGCCUGAUCCAGCCAUGCCGCGUGUGUGAAGAAGGUCUUCGGAUUGUAAAGCACUUUAAGUUGGGAGGAAGGGCAGUAAGCGAAUACCUUGCUGUUUUGACGUUACCGACAGAAUAAGCACCGGCUAACUCUGUGCCAG